UAAUAGUAGGUUUACUAUGUUACUUUUUGGGAAUGAAAAAUUUAAAGUUUUAUAAUGGCUUAAUUGGUUUAGUAAUUAGUAAUUUCACAUGCGCAGUUUUUUUUAGAAAAAAAAUUUUAGGCAGUGCAUAUAUUUAAUGAUUAAGGAGAUUUAGAAUUAGAUAUUUAAAUUAGUAUAGACAAAUCUUGUGCCAGCAGUUGCGGUUAAACAUGAUAUACUUCUAAAUUUGGUUCGGGUUGUAAUUAUCUUUUGGAUUUGAGGUGAAAGUUUAUUAUAUAAGGUGAAAUUUUAUAAUAGAUUAGAUUUAAUUUGUGAAGAGAAGUUAUCAGAUUUUUGAGGUAAACUAGGAUUAGAUACCCUAUUAUUGAAAAUGUAAAAUUUGAUUCCUGAGUAGUAUUAGGUGUUCUUGAAAUUUAAAAAAUUUGGCGGUGUUUUAGUCUAUUCAGAGGAACCUGUCCUGUAAUUGAUAAUCCACGAUUAAUUAGACUUGUUUUUUUAGUUUGUAUAUCGUCGUUAUUUGAAUAUCUUUAAAAGGGAAAAUAUUCAAUAUUUAGGAUUUUAAUCUAAAUCAGAUCAAGGUGCAGUUUACAAGCAAGGAGAGAUGGGUUACAAUGAAAAUAUUUUUGGUUUGAGAGGUGAAAUUCUCACGAUAAAUAGGAUUUGAUAGUAAGGUGAAUUAUUUAAUUUAUCUGAUUUGAGCUCUAGAAUAUGCACAUAUCGCCCGUCGCUCCUACUAUAAAGUAGGAUAAGUCGUAACAUAGUAGGUGUACCGGAAGGUGUACCUAGAAAGA
rnacentral:ncRNA from 1 species